rnacentral:lncRNA from 1 species
GACCACGACUCGACUGACCACCACUCACCUGUUCACAACUCUCCUAACCAAGUCUACGCUGACCGCUCACCACGACUCGCCUAACCACAACUCUUCUAGCCACAAGUCACCUGACCACAACUCACCUGACCACAACUCACCUGUCACGACAACAUCUCAUCCCUAGGUUUUUUUGUGUGGGAGGCACCUUUUGUUGUACUACUAAUGUGCCCUUUUGUCUACGUCUUCUCAUGUAUUCAAAUGCCACCAAUUUAGACUGAGUUGUUCUUUUGGUAGUUAACUAAUCUAUUGCUUUCUGUUUGUUUACUUUGCUCUACUUUUUGAUAUCCAUCAGAGCUUAUCUUUACCCUCUUAAUUCGUAAAUUCAAUCUACACCGAAAACUUAAUAUCACUCACAAUAACUAAACCAAAAAUCAGCAAGAAAAACCUUAGGGUCUUUUGUGGAUGAGCCUUUAUGUUAGUCUAACCACGAGAUCAUAUCCACAUGAAUCCAGCAAUAACAAAAAAUAUUAUCCAUCCACCG